CCCUUUUAAUUUAAGUCUAAACACACCGUAAAAAAUGCCCAAAAUUUUAAAAAGUGGUAAAAAAUAAGAGUAUUGCAAAAUCAAAUUUCUUUGUGCAAGAUUAUCAGAACCUAUGAGUGGUAUAAGUAUGUGUAAAAUUAGUUUUAGUUGCAGUUUCAGUUUUUGUGUCACAGCAGAAAAUAAAAAAAAAUAAUCUGGCAUUAGUGGCACGGAACUGCCACUGUCACUUAGUGGCCUAUAAAAUCAUCUAUAAAUGAAAAGUUGCCCUUUUUUUAUUAUGGCUGUCAUCAGUGACUUCUGCUCUAACCACUCAAAAGAAAAAAUCACUCAGUUUCAAACUUUUAACCCUUUUAUUUUAGUUUGAACAUACAACGCAAACGUGUGUGUGUGUGUGUGUGUGUGUGCUUGCGCUCAGUGGAGCUAGUGAAGCGAGCUAACCUGACUCCGCCACGUGGUGGCGAUCGCUGUGUGUGCGCGUGUGCUUGCGCUCAGUGGAGCUAGUGAGGCGAGCUUACCUGACUCCGCCACGUGGUGGCGAUCGCUGUGUGUGUAAGUGUGUGUGUGUGCGUGUGUGGAGUGUGUGUGUGGGGUGUGUGUGUGUGUGUUUGUGCUUGCUUACGAUCGGCGGAGCUGAGGGAAGGUAUCUCCAGAACAGGUGGUGCGGCACAGUAAUUAGUAUGAGAUACGUCGGACUGCCGGAUGCAAAACCCCGUUAACCGGAAGAAGAAGAGGUCGGCUACCACCUCCAGAGCAGCCAGCGGCUCCCCGCCUUUGCUGCCGCGGGCCUAAGGCUAUCUGAUCACGGGUAACGGGGCGGCUGUACCCGGGGCAACCUCGGACGCUUGGGGCGCAUGUGCCAUGAACGCAAUCGCUGGCUGUGACGAGCGCGUGCAAGAUCAUGCGCGUGCACAAACAUUUGCACACGAACACACACGACCAUGCACACAUGGAAAACACUAACACAUGAAAAAAAAUACAUGCACACCUGAUUUAUUCACUUCUACAGUCUACUUUUGUUUUUUUGCAAAAAAUGGCCUCUCACUGAAGGCCAAUAACGGAUAUGAAAACAAAUGAAAUUUCAGCAUUCAUGAUUUGAAAAAGCUGGAUUGGAAAUAGACUCAAGAUAAAAUGCAAAAAAAUGGGGGGUAAAAUCUGAUUUGAACUCUUGUGGCAGUAUAUUACAAACAGGUAGCAGAUUUUCCUUCCAAAAGACUGCAUCUAUCAUAGGCUGUAGUUUACGGGUGUGUCAAACUGACCAAAAUGGUAAAAAAAACAAAAAAAAACCAGAAUAACAAAUUUGAGACAGUUUCAUGCCCAAAUAAAGUAAAAUGGUAAAAAUAAAAUAAGAAAUUGCUUCCUUUUAUUAGUGAUAAAGUU